AGCGAACGCUGGCGGCAGGCUUAACACAUGCAAGUCGAGCGGGCACCUUUCGGGGUGUCAGCGGCGGACGGGUGAGUAACGCGUGGGAACGUGCCCCCUGGUUCGGAAUAACUCAGGGAAACUUGAGCUAAUACCGGAUACGCCCUUUUGGGGAAAGGCUUGCUGCCGGAGGAUCGGCCCGCGUCUGAUUAGCUAGUUGGUGAGGUAACGGCUCACCAAGGCGACGAUCAGUAGCUGGUCUGAGAGGAUGAUCAGCCACACUGGGACUGAGACACGGCCCAGACUCCUACGGGAGGCAGCAGUGGGGAAUAUUGGACAAUGGGCGCAAGCCUGAUCCAGCCAUGCCGCGUGAGUGAUGAAGGCCUUAGGGUUGUAAAGCUCUUUUAUCCGGGACGAUAAUGACGGUACCGGAGGAAUAAGCCCCGGCUAACUUCGUG
rnacentral:rRNA from 1 species